rnacentral:misc_RNA from 1 species
GAUGAAGAACGUAGCGAAAUGCGAUAUGUAGUGUGAAUUGCAGAAUUCAGUGAAUCAUCGAAUCUUUGAACGCACAUUGCACUCCUUGGUAUUCCGAGGAGUAUGCCUGUUUCAGUAUCAUGAGCACUCUCACAUCUAACCUUUGGGUUAAAAUGUGGAAUUGGGAUGCGCCGGUUAUUAUAACGGCCCUCCUAAAAUUCAGUUCUUGGCUGCUUCCUACUACAGCAGUUUGGCCUAAUAGUUUUGAGUCUUCGAUUCAAAUCUUUGGCUAACAUUUGCUUCAGGAUGUCAGUCUUGAUAUACAGAAAUCUCAUUCAAACUUUGAUCUGAAAUCAGGUAGGGCUACCCGCUGAACUUAAGCAUAUCAAUAAGCGGAGGA